rnacentral:rRNA from 1 species
UCCUACGGGAGGCAGCAGUGGGGAAUUUUCCGCAAUGGGCGAAAGCCUGACGGAGCAAUCUCGCGUGAGGGAAGACGGCCUAUGGGUUGUAAACCUCUUUUUUCAGGGAGGAAUUUUGACGUGUACCUGAAGAAUAAGCAUCGGCUAACUCCGUGCCAGCAGCCGCGGUAAGACGGAGGAUGCAAGUGUUAUCCGGAAUCACUGGGCGUAAAGCGUCUGUAGGUGGUUAAGCAAGUCAACUGUUAAAUCUUGAGGCUCAACUUCAAAAUCGCAGUCGAAACUGUUUGACUAGAGUAUAGUAGGGGUAAAGGGAAUUUCCAGUGGAGCGGUGAAAUGCGUAGAUAUUGGAAAGAACACCGAUGGCGAAGGCACUUUACUGGGCUAUUACUGACACUCAGAGACGAAAGCUGGGGUAGCAAAUGGGAUUAGAUACCCCAGUAGUCCUAGCCGUAAACAAUGGAUACUAGAUGUUGAACAGAUCGACCUGUGCAGUAUCAAAGCUAACGCGUUAAGUAUCCCGCCUGGGAAGUAUGCUCGCAAGAGUGAAACUCAAAGGAAUUGACGGA